GUAGGUUCAUGCGUGGUCGUGCAGGUUCCUGCUGUGUGUGUUCGCGCUUCCGCUGCUUCCGCUGCAUACUCUCUCCUCCCGGACUCCGCGUCCUUUCCACUGCCGCGUUUGGCUUUCCCAGCGCACCUCGGACUAGAGACGCUUCCCCGUCGCUUCACCCCGUGCUGCGCUUCCUUCUUCACGCACCGUGGAUGUAUUCUUUUGAACUGCCGUUUGCCGGAUUAUCCCGAUUCUGCACGGGUAUUUUGUGUUGGCUCUGCCUUUGCUGAAUAAAGUUUAUGUUUGCCGUUACUCCGGCUUCCGCCCCCGUACCUCGCAUAACAGUAUGAUAGUCAUAUAUGUAAAUACACAAUUACCUUGCUACAUGUACAUGUCUUCAUUGAACUAAAAUGUAUCUACAGGACGCUCCUGCUAUGCUGCUGUUCGCAAGAAUGUGAACGAUGACAUCACUACUUUCAUCGCUGCUGUUUGCCUAAUGUUCGGCAGUUACUACAGUUUCAACAUUCACUACCCUACUGAACUGGCGUCAGUGCUUGAAUUCCUGCAAAGGUGUUUUUUCAUCAUCAAUCCCGAAAAGGGCACAAAAGUUGUGGAAAAGAAGAACAAAGAGCGACUCCCAGUGAACCCAAGAGCCUUCACCCUAAUCUCUGACCUUUCUGAUCAUGAGUGGUGAGAGACUUUGUAAAGGUGGCCUGCAAAUGGUUUCCCAGUUUAAAUUUUAUGAACAUUGAAAUGUUAAUGACUUGCGUUGUAACCACAUGUUUAGUGGUAGCUAUACUCUGUAAGCACUUGUGCCUUGUUCUGCUUUAGUAGUUCUUACAUUAAAUGUUUAUCUGAACCGUUACCUACUGUAUCUUCCCAAGCUCAGUUUAAAGUGGCAGUUAGAUAGCAGAAAUUCUUUAAAUUCUGAGUCUAAAUUUUUAAAUGAAUGAUCUUAAUCUGAUCUUAAGCCACUCUUUACUUCUGUUAAAACACGAACAGAAAAAUACAUUUAUUGUUUUAAAUGCCUGCCAGUCUUUAAUAAAAAAAAAUACAUGGGA